rnacentral:lncRNA from 1 species
UGCAAAUCCAGCAGAAUGUGGGGGAAUUGCAGGAACAAGCAGAAAGCUGCUUUGCUUAUUACAGUAGGGACUCGGGGACAGCGUGAGUACGUGGAGCUGAGGCGGAAGGGAAGAGGAUUACUUCCCAGGACCUGCCGACUGGCAGAUUCUUCAGGGUCUCCUUGAAAUCCCCUUUAUGAUAAGGGCUUUCUGCGGUAGAGAAGGAGGCCAGGAGGAGGAGGUUGGCUGAAGGUGAGAAAUUAGCUCGUGUAGAUGUCCUCUGCUUGGCCAAACACGCCGUCCACCUGGCCUAACAUCGCUGUGGCGGAUAACUUGAUCGCUAUGAGGACUGAAGACAGUACUGCGGCACAGCCUCCGUGCUGAGUCACAGCACUGGCGCUAACGCCGGCAGCCGUCGCCUCUUACCACCUGCAGAGGCGAGUAACAGGGCUGCUGUGGCCAGGUCUGAAAGGAGGCGACAAGCUGCGCAGCUCUGCUCUCCUGCUUCCAUCCUGCUUUUUCUCUGGUCUGCUCCAUCUUCUGGUCUAAGGAAUGUCAGCACCUGCUAUAACGCUCCCAUCACUGGAGAACAGACUAAUCCUGACGUGAACCAAAAUAUCCUCCCAGCAAACGGCGUGCUGCCUUGUGGGAGCUGGCGUUUGGGGAAAUCGGGUUUAUCUUACCAGCGGUGUCCCUUCCCGUAAGGCCGCGCAUCACCUCCUUUUCCUCAGCCUGUCGCAGAGCCUGGCUCCUAGAGGAAAAUGGGAACAUCCGCAUGCAGUGCGUCUGGAUUUGAUGGAAGAAUUUAGGCUUUUUUGUAGAAAGAAGGUGCUCGGAGACCUCCUAUUUUGCAUAUAUUGGCUUGUUUUGGUGUUUUCGGGGAGGCCGUGGGGCUGGGGGGGCGCCGUGGGGCCAGCGUGCACACGAAACACGGACAAGAGGCCACCGCGAGGGCCGCGCCGGCACCGGGCCUGGGGGUUUGGUCUCCGCUUCUUGCUUCCCUGCCGGCCGCUGCGGUGCCGGGCUGCUGGGCGGCCGGAGCUGGGAGCAAGUGCAGCCCUCUGUCCUUAGGUGAGUGCAACGCUUAAUAACCUUAAAAAAUAAUAAUGAUACAUUAAAAAAAA